rnacentral:lncRNA from 1 species
AUGUUAGCUUGUCAUUGUUAUUAUACGUUUUGGCAUAAAUUUUGUUUUACAACAAGUCGGGUCAAAUAUAAUAUGUUUCAUUAGCCUUUUAUAAAUUCGACUUACUUUACGUUUCGGCCCCCCGCAACGUGCGGUACCAUUUUUAACUUAAAAAGCAUUUUUUUACUUAUUUUUAUGUACGUGUCGGUAUAAGUUCAGAUGGGUGUUCGACGUAAAUUUCUUUCGUAAAUAAGUCAGGCCAUAUAUAAUACGUCUUCAUGCUUAUUUUUAUAUACAUCUUCGCUUUAUCAAUAUUUUGACGUAACUUUUCUUCGUAACAUUUCUGGUCUUUAUUACACAAAUUCGAGCGUCGCAUCACACGAGGAAAUUUAGUAGUUCUCUACAUAAAGUACUCUUUAUUCUAUUCUCUACAUAAAAAAAAAAUAUUAUAAAUAACCAAAAGUGUAACGCAAUACAACCCUUGGAAUUUACGUUCUUGCAUUUCACUCAUUGUAUUUCACAAAUUUUAAAU